rnacentral:rRNA from 1 species
CCCUUGUCAUUAGUUGCUACGAAAGRGCACUCUAAUGAGACUGCCGGUGACAAACCGGAGGAAGGUGGGGAUGACGUCAAGUCCUCAUGGCCCUUAUGGGUAGGGCUUCACACGUCAUACAAUGGUACAUACAGAGGGCCGCCAACCCGCGAGGGGGAGCUAAUCCCAGAAAGUGUAUCGUAGUCCGGAUUGUAGUCUGCAACUCGACUGCAUGAAGUUGGAAUCGCUAGUAAUCGCGGAUCAGCAUGUCGCGGUGAAUACGUUCCCGGGUCUU